rnacentral:rRNA from 1 species
GACGAACGCUGGCGGCGCGCUUAACACAUGCAAGUCGAACGGAAAGGCCUGCUUUCCCUUGUGGAUUGCGGGUACUCGAGUGGCGAACGGGUGAGUAACACGUGAGUGAUCUGCCCCCAACUUGGGUAUAAGCCUGGGAAACUGGGUCUAAUUCCCGAUAGGACUGCAGGGUGGUGCCUGUGGUGGAAAACGAUUUUCUAGUGGUUGGGGAUGAGCUCGCGGCCUAUCAGCUUGUUGGUGGGGUAAUGGCCUACCAAGGCGGCGACGGGUAGCCGGCCUGGGAGGGUGGACGGGCAAAUUGGGACUGAGAUACGGCCCAGACGCCUACGGGCGGCAGCGGUGGGGAAUAAUGCACAAGGGGCGGAAGCCUGAUGCAGCGACGCCGCGUGGGGGAUGACGGGCUUCGGGUGGUAAACUCCUUGCGACCGCGAGGAAGCCACCUGGUUGGAAGGGUGGUGACGGUAGUGGUAGAAGAAGCACCGGCUAACUACGUG